GUUACAGGUGAUCAAGCACUGAUGAUGUAGG
rnacentral:piRNA from 1 species